rnacentral:lncRNA from 1 species
AAUCACUUUGACAAUUCUUGUUUUGGUUAUAGUUAUUUUCAUGAGAUUAGAUAUAGUCAAAUCUUGUACUGUCAUAUACAACAUGAAUAUAAACAAGCUGUGGGCAUCAAAGAAAAAGCAAUCGUUUAAUAAUUAGAUAAAAACUUAAAUAGCAAAAUAAUGAUAAUUUAUACUUUUAUUAAAUUGAUUGUGAAUUAUAUUAUAUAUUGGUACUUGGACAGUUCAAGAUUAGAGGGAGAAAUACAGUUUUUCAUCAAUAUCCACAUCUUCAAUGUUACUGAAGAACUGACUUCAACAAUUCAUCUGUCACAAGAACAGUCCACAGAUGAAUAUGAGAGAAUGGAUGAAAACAAACUGCCAUGACAAACAUGAACAUUUAGUUGAAGAUGAUGUAUCCUCAUCCUGAUGGCUUUCUUAAACCAAAGUAAUUUACAAGCUUUCAUUUCUGAAAAAAAUCAAUAUGCCAAACUAAGAAUAGUAUUAUGAGAAAGUUUAUGGUCUUUAUUGAAGUUCUCAGUUAAUACUUAUGAAUAAAAUGUGACAUCAUUUCAACAUAGCAGAUGGGAGAUAAGUUAUAUUGUUAAAAGUUAAAGAUUAAAAGAUAA